UGACAUCUGGAGGCUUCGUCCGGGCAGGUAUCGUUGUACCUGUUACCUAUCAUUUGUCGCUUCGAUCAGCCAAACGAGACACUACCUUGACAUAUUUGAGUGAAUCUGUAUUAUUUAAUACCAGUGUAUUAACCAGUGUACUAUUAAUACAGUAUUAUUAUUGACAUCUGAGGGCCCGUCGUCCGGCCAGGUACCGUGUCUGUUGUACCUAUUUUUUCGUCACCUUGAAGAAGUCAUUGAACUAGCCAGAGCCUGCAUUUUUUUUUUGUUCACUGGUUGACCUCUACACACGAUUGUGACUGUUACACACAGAAGUUUUUGUUGACAGCUUGUGAUUCAGCACGGGAUGUCAUCACCAUUUAAAGAGGAAUCACCAUUAAAAGGGACAUCACCAUUUAAUGAGACACUACUACUACUACUACUACUACUACUACUUACUUACUAUUGGAUUAUUGGAUUUUGAGACAUCGCCAUUUAAAGAGGAAUCACCAUUUAAAGGGACAUCACCAUUUAGAGAGACAUUACUACUUACUUACUAUUGGAUUAUUGGAUUUUGAGACAUCGCCAUUUGAAGAGGCAUCGCCAUUUAAAGAGACAUCGCCAUUUGGAGACAUCGCCAUUUAAAGAGACACUACUACUACUACUUACUUACUAUUGGAUUAUUGGAUUUAGAGACAUCGCCAUUUAAAGAGACAUCGCCAUUUGGAGACAUCGCCAUUUAAAGAGACACUACUACUACUAGUAUUCACUUACUAUUGAAUUAUUCUACAUGAAUGCAAUUACUCAAGUAAUCGUGGUUUAUCUACCUUUGCUACAUUGAUGUUGAAUUAUUAUUGUACUACCUGACUAGAUAAUCAUUUUUUUUUGUAUGCACCCAUUAUUAUUACUAUUAGUAUCAUAUCAAUGUUUGAAUAAUUUUGUUUUGUAUUUUUUUCAUUCUCUAAAUCUGCUGAGAGUCAUAAAGCGUUUACAAGGAGGCCGAACAGCGACCUGACAGUCCAGAAGUUCUACAUUCUUAAAGCAACACUGUCGUGUGGGAAGAGUUGUCAUUUCUUUCCUGGCAUCAGACACAGAUAAGUUGAGUUUUCUUUUGUCUGUUGUAUCGGGCAUUCAGGGUCGAGUGUACAUUGCCUUUUCAGUAGGGGAGAUAAAGGGUGAAUUUUUUCAUUUCUUUGUUGAUCCUUUUUAUAAUUUAUUGUCUUAUGUAAAUUGAACAAUGUUACUUGUUAACUUAACCUUUAUAAAUUAAUUUACGCUUAUUCAGUAAUAUUUCUUAUUAUUUGUGAUUACCAUGGACGAGUUUAAACCUAGGUCAAUUGAGGUAUUAAUAGAACAGGCCCACAUGUUUGGAAUUGAGGGUGAUGAACUACGAGAGUUUGUUUUAAACCAACAAAAACUAGAUCUAGAAAGAUUAAAAGAUUUAAACCGACAAAAACUAGAUCUAGAAAGAUUAAAAUUAGAAUUAGAAAGAAAGGCAAUAGAAGUGGUAAAGUUGAAAAUGGAACUGGAAGUAAAACUGUCAUUACAGGGAGAUGUGAACUAUAAAAUAGAAAUUGAAAAUGACAUAUUAACUAAUGAGGAACAAAAUAACUGCCAGGAUAUUGAUAAUAAUAUAAGUGGAAUAGAAGAUAAUGAAGAAAUUGAGAAUGUCUUAUCAAUACAUCCGAAAUAGCUUGCUGUGUGUUGCACCAAGUAGAUGGCUUCCUUCCGGUAAAGUGCAGAGAGCUGAUACAUAGAGAGUAGCAUUACUUCAUUAGUAGCGUGAGUGUCCAACGCCUAGACAGAUACCUUUGAUACCCAGGAGGAUGCAUAAUUCAGUUUGACCACAGACCAUUGUCUACUAGCAGAUACACUGUCAAGACUUAGCACAGUUGUAUUAGUUAUAAUUGUUAGAAUUCAUUUUUUCCCAAUACAAUGUGAAACGUGCCUUUAACUAUUAGAGACGGUAUCUUGUCAUAUAUUAUUGCUAUACAUAGGAGUUGAUCUUUUCUUGUAUGUUUGCUGUUUUACAUAUUAAAUAUUAACGUGGAAAGGACUAGGCUUGCCGACUUCAAAUUGUAAUUUAAUUCUCCAUGCCACUAUUUGUUUUUCUCUUUUAUUCUUUUCUCUCUUUCCCUUUGUUGUAAAUAGCGGGACAUAUUUUUUUUGUUAGGUUAAUAAGGGCUAUUUCACUUUCAUGUACAUUAUAUACAUUUGUGUGUAGAUAUAUAUGUUUAUAUAUAUGUAUAUAAGUAUGUGUAUGACACACUGUGUGUAUGUAUGUAUAUUUAUGUAUAUAUUUGAAUGACUGUUAUCUAAUAACAGUCAUAUCGUGAGAGGGGGUAUGUCAGGGAGAGGUAUGGCGAGAAUGUUAGUUUGAUAUGAUUGUUAUAUCCCCUUGUUAUGAAUGCGAAGUGUUGCACGUGUUGUGAACUGAGUGAUUAAGUCUUCGUUGAAUGUGCGAGAGAAUGUGUUAGUCAGUAAGGUCUUGCUCCCGGUCCAGGAAGGUUGGACGUUUACUUCCUGGACUGGUAUUUAUGCAUUUAUAGUUGAUGGACUGGUGUUUUGUUUAUUAAUAUUUACUUGAGCAAUAUUGGAUAUUAAAAUAUUGAUAUAUUCUUGGA